CGCCUUGCCAGCCCGCUCAGAAACUUAAAGGAAUUGACGGGGGCCCGCACAAGCGGUGGAGUAUGUGGUUUAAUUCGAUGCAACGCGAAGAACCUUACCUGGUCUUGACAUCCCGGAGACCCUUAGGAAACUAGGGGGUGCUUCCAUCUGGAAGAAUCUGGAGACAGGUGCUGCAUGGCUGUCGUCAGCUCGUGUCGUGAGAUGUUGGGUUAAGUCCCGCAACGAGCGCAACCCUUGCCUUUAGUUGCCAGCAGUUCGGCUGGGCACUCUAAAGGGACUGCCGGUGUUAAACCGGAGGAAGGUGGGGAUGACGUCAAGUCCUCAUGGCCUUUAUGACCAGGGCUACACACGUACUACAAUGGCCGAUACAAAGGGCAGCGACACUGCGAGGUGAAGCCAAUCCCGUAAAAUCGGUCUCAGUCCGGAUUGGAGUCUGCAACUCGACUCCAUGAAGUUGGAAUCGCUAGUAAUCGUGGAUCAGCAUGCCACGGUGAAUACGUUCCGGGCCUU
rnacentral:rRNA from 1 species